AAUCAAUAAUGUUGGAAAAGAGAAACCCUCUUCACACAUCUCUAAUUAGUCAUAGCAGAAUCUGGUGGAUUUCCAUGUUACAACUGCAUCAAACCUGAGAAAUUGGUCUUGAUCCCAGACUCAUUCAGUACAUCUUCCAGAAGAAGCUCCAGUCAAGACAAUCAAAGGCUUUUCAACGUUGAAUGAUCCCCAAGAUCACUCUUUCAGUUUGCAUCCAUCCUACAUUAUGUUCAGUGUCUGUCUAAUGUUACCUACAGCAAAUCUCCCUGGAAUUACCCUGAAAGAGCUCCACUUAUAAGAACAGGCAAAGGAUCUUCAAACUGGUCGGCUUCAACUUUAGCUUGAGCCUUCAAAAUCUAUAGUAGUAAGUGAAACCAGGCAUAAAGAGGCACAGUUCUUCAGAUCUUUUUUUUUUUAAUAAAUCAAAUAAAUAUUGGCCAUAUUGUUUAUAUUAGGGCAUGAACCCCUCUGUAAAGUCACUGCUCAAGUCUAAUAACGGAGUAGGAAAAGGGUUUCUGUAUUUUUCUGAAUAAUCAAUACCAAAGCUGCUGAUGCAAAUUUAUUUGAACCCCAGGGAACACAUCCUUUGAAGUUCUGGGAAAAUUUUAAAUAUAGUGUAUAAAUCAAUAAGUGGACAAAAACAUCUCUGUCAAUGUCUUCAUUUUUACUUGGAGAAGAAAUAUAUCUUUAAAUGUAAUCUCUCACUCCCGCUAUGAACCCUUUCCCCAAAUCAUUUCCUUUACAAAAGAAACUCAUGACAGUCAGCUGAACAGAAACAUUCCUUUUGGCCAUGAUGAGAAGUGCUGAGAUGUAACCUCUCUGAACAUGAUGACUACUCCAGCCCAAAAGACGGUCUUCCUCUUCCUCCCUUUUCUAAUGCUCUCAUGCUUUUCUCUUUUCCCAUCAUUUCACAUCCAGUUUGGGAGCCUGAGCCAAGUGAGAUGGUUUGAGGGCAUUUUCAGAAGAGAUUCUACUGUCCUGGUUGGGUGGUACGUGUUGUUUUGAAUGGGAUGCAUCU
rnacentral:lncRNA from 1 species